GCUGCCUUGGCUAGAGAGAGCCGCGUGGCGGGCGCGCUUGUUCUAGUUGCGGAGGGGCGGCAGUAGCCGCUCGUCGGGGUGGUGGUGGGAGCGGGAUUUCCUGCGCGCCGGAGACUGGGCCCCGUCUCGCUCCCAGCCACGGGGCUACAUUCUUCUGGCGCGCUGCUUGGCGCGCGCUCCCGCCCGGCCGAGGCCUGUCUUCUCAGAGGAGAACAUGGCCCCGGGGGCGCUGGUGGCGCGACCAGAGGCGGUGGGGGAGGGGGCCGCCACCGCCUUUCCGGUAACGUGGCUCAUUGUGUCCCUGCAGGUGGGGACCGGACCGCAGCGGAGCCGCCGCCGGGGGCAGCGGGAUGCAGCAGGGACCUUGCAGACUUGAGACCCAGAGCAGCCAGCAGUUGCCAGGACAAACAUUCCUAAGUUGUGACGACUUUGAAGAAGGUGGGAUAAACAACACAGCCAGACUUGUAGAAACUUGAAGUAAAACAAGUUUGCUCAAGGGCCAUUUUAAAAAAAAAAAACCAACCCUUUUGAUUGCUGGUUGGAAGGAGAGCCAGCAGUGAAAAUUGUACUAUUUGCUUUUGAAAGUGGUGCAACAUAACCCAACCCAAGAAAGGCUGCAGCCAGUCAGCAACAUGAGCAAGUGUUAAAAGACCUGUCUAAUAAAUGCUAAAAUCUGGUUUGGAGGUGGGUAGUGAAAAUUUGAAUUUUUUGGAUGGGUCCUAAAAACUUGAGAUGCCAUUUGGUUCAUGAAGACUGUGCUUUAAAUGUCUUUUCAUAGUUCCGCACACAGCCUCCUGGAAGCUGCAGUGCACUGCCUUUAGACUUCCAUGCCAGCUGACUUGAUGCGGCAGUGUGGCUGGCAGUCCAGCAACUAAGAGGGUUGCUAGCACAAAAGCAAAAGAGUUUCUAC